rnacentral:rRNA from 1 species
UACGGGGGGGGCAAGCGUUGUUCGGAAUUACUGGGCGUAAAGGGCUCGUAGGUGGUCAACUAAGUCAGACGUGAAAUCCCUCAGCUUAACUGGGGAACUGCGUCUGAUACUGGAUGGCUUGAGAUUGGGAGAGGGACGCGGAAUUCCAGGUGUAGCGGUGAAAUGCGUAGAUAUCUGGAGGAACACCGGUGGCGAAGGCGGCACUCUGGGCCGGUACUGACGCUGAGGAGCGAAAGCGUGGGGAGCGAACAGG